GACGAACGCUGGCGGCGUGCUUAACACAUGCAAGUCGAACGGAAAGGCCCUGCUUUUGUGGGGUGCUCGAGUGGCGAACGGGUGAGUAACACGUGAGUAACCUGCCCUUGACUUUGGGAUAACUUCAGGAAACUGGGGCUAAUACCGGAUAGUAGCUCCUGCUGCAUGGUGGGGGUUGGAAAGUUUCGGCGGUUGGGGAUGGACUCGCGGCUUAUCAGCUUGUUGGUGGGGUAGUGGCUUACCAAGGCUUUGACGGGUAGCCGGCCUGAGAGGGUGACCGGCCACAUUGGGACUGAGAGACGGCCCAGAGUCCUACGGGAGGCAGCAGUGGGGAAUAUUGCACAAUGGGCGGAAGCCUGAUGCAGAAACGCCGCGUGCGGGAUGACGGCCUUCGGGUUGUAAACCGCUUUCGCCUGUGACGAAGCGUGAGUGACGGUAAUGGGUAAAGAAGCACCGGCUAACUACGUG
rnacentral:rRNA from 1 species